GUCUAUGGCCAUGCCACCCUGAAUGUGCCCAGUCACGUCUGAUCUCGGAAGCUAAGCAGGGUCGAGCCUGGUUAGUACUUGGAUGGGAGACUUCCUAGGAAGAUCAGGUGUUGUGGGCA
rnacentral:rRNA from 1 species